UGGGUUUUAUCAUGUUUUACCUGCGAGGGGGUCCAAUUAUAAGGGGACCAAGUUUUUUUCUGUAAGUUGAAAAGGGGUUAAAAUUUUGGUUAGAAAUUAUAAAUAAGGGUCAAUAUGAUGAAAUAUUUGUAAACUUUAGAAUUUUAAAGUAUAUACUGAUGAACUGUAUUAUUCAAAGUAAUAAAGAAUAUAUCCUACCUAUCAUGUGUUUCAAAGGUAAGUGUUUUGCAUCAUGUUUAAAAGUUUGGCUUGUGUAUUUGAGGAGGAUCACAUAUAUUGUUUUAAAUGGUUUAAAGGGGAUACAAUAAAAACAGUGAUUAUGGGGAAUUAAGAAAAUUUCAUGUUUUGUUUCAAUAGAACAGUCCCCUCUUUCCCAGAUAAAAAAUGAUAAAUCCAUAAAUAAUAACAAAUAAAAUAAUAACAAAUGAACUGCUGUGUAUACAAAAUUAAAAGUGAUAGUUUAAUUAAUUCUUUAAAUAGCAAAUAUAAUAAGAAACACGACGGAAAAUCUAAAACAUUAAUGCAAUGAAAGACAGAAAAUAUCAUUUAUUCA
rnacentral:lncRNA from 1 species